rnacentral:rRNA from 1 species
UGGGGAAUAUUGGACAAUGGGGGCAACCCUGAUCCAGCAAUGCCGCGUGUGUGAAGAAGGCCUUCGGGUUGUAAAGCACUUUAGUUGGGGAGGAAGUUGCGACUUUUAAGAGAUAUCGUAAUUGACUGUACCCAAAGAAUAAGCACCGGCUAACUCUGUGCCAGCAGCCGCGGUAAUACAGAGGGUGCGAGCGUUAAUCGGAAUUACUGGGCGUAAAGGGCGCGUAGGCGGUUAGAUAAGUUGGAUGUGAAAUCCCUGGGCUUAACCUAGGAACUGCAUCCGAAACUGUGUAGCUGGAGUGCUGUAGAGGGUAGUGGAAUUUCCGGUGUAGCGGUGAAAUGCGUAGAUAUCGGAAGGAACACCAGUGGCGAAGGCGGCUACCUGGACAGACACUGACGCUGAGGCCCGAGAGCGUGGGGAGCAAACAGG